UUUCAUUCUACGGGGAAAAGAGAAAAAAAAAGCAAAACUGGGAAUUUCCCUGGCCCCCACCAAGGGUUUAAAAGGCACCGGGAAGCACCGCGCCGGCAGAGCAGGCGGGACGGCGGGGCCGACGGCUCGGAGACGGCGGAGCAGGUGAGGAGCCAGCGCGGCCGGGGGUGCGGAGCAGCGCGGCGGAGCCCAGCCAGCCCGGGAGCAGAAAUGCUAAACUAGCAUAUGAUGGUUCUGCUACUUGACCUACCUGUGUAUGCACAGCUGAUUCUCCUGGCAGCACUGCUGACCAUUGGAAGUCUUCUCUCAGGGUGUGCUCUCCUGGCACAGGCAGAGAGAAUUGGCAGAUCAUCAGUAAAGACAUUUCCCGCAGAGACAGGAAAUAUUAGUGUUAUGGUGCUAUUGAAAUACAGAUCUGGAGGAAGACGACUCAAGCAUACUCAAGAAAAUAAAAGUUGACAAGAACUGAUGCAUACAGUUGACAUCAAGAGAGCAGAGAUCCUGUGGAGCAAAAGGAAGCGAACUGGCUGAUUAUUGCCUACCAAAGGGGAAGAAUGGGAUUUACUCAUGGGUAAAUCUAGAGACUGACCACAGUUGGAAAGAGCUAGAUAAAUCAAUGGGUGAUUGAUGUUUGUAAUUAGUUUGCAAAUAACUUCAGGCUAGAUUUUUGAAGAUGGCUUCUAACCAAGGGGAAAAAAAGCCCAUAUUUCUGUGUUUUAGACUUACCUCCAUGUUGUGGCAGAGAUAAAUAAAUAUUAAAAAAAAAAAAGUGUGGUAAUAAUAUGAAAAUACUGUUGCUAGGAGGCUAUUGGAGACAAAAUAAAAUGGCCAAUAGUACUUUUCAGU